rnacentral:rRNA from 1 species
UACAGGGGGGGCAAGCGUUGUUCGGAAUUACUGGGCGUAAAGGGCUUGUAGGCGGCCAACUAAGUCACACGUGAAAUCCCCAGGCUUAACCUGGGAACUGCGUGUGAUACUGGAUGGCUUGAAUUCGGGAGAGGGAUGCAGAAUUCCAGGUGUAGCGGUGAAAUGCGUAGAUAUCUGGAGGAACGCCGGUGGCGAAGGCGGCAUCCUGGACCAAUACUGACACUGAAAAGCGAAAGCCAGGGGAGCAAACGGG